UACGAAGGGAGCUAGCGUUGUUCGGAAUUACUGGGCGUAAAGGGCGCGUAGGCGGUUUUGUAAGUCAGAUGUGAAAGCCCCGGGCUUAACCUGGGAGGUGCAUUUGAAACUGCAAGGCUUGAGAUCGAGAGAGGAAAGUGGAAUUACGAGUGUAGAGGUGAAAUUCGUAGAUAUUCGUAAGAACACCAGUGGCGAAGGCGACUUUCUGGCUCGAUACUGACGCUAAGGCGCGAAAGCGUGGGGAUCAAACAGG
rnacentral:rRNA from 1 species